GACGAACGCUGGCGGCGUGCUUAACACAUGCAAGUCGAACGGAAAGGCCCUGCUUUUGUGGGGUUCUCGAUUGGCGAACGGGGGAGUAUCACGUGAGUAACCUGCCCUUGUCUUUGGGGUAACUUCAGGAAACUGGGGCUAAUAUCGGAUAGGAUCUCCUGCUCCAUGGUGGGGGUUGGAAAGUUUCGGCGGUUGGGGAUGGACUCGCGGCUUAUCGGCUUGUUGGUGGGGUAGUGGCUUACCAAGGCUUUGACGGGUAGCCCGCCUGGGAGGGUGACCGGCGACAUUGGGACUGAGGUACGGACCAGACUCCUACGGGAGGCAGCAGUGGGGAAUAUUGCACAAUGGGCGGAAGCCUGAUGCAGAAACGCCGCGUGCGGGAUGACGGCCUUCGGGUUGUAAACCGCUUUCGCCUGUGACGAAGCGUGAGUGACGGUAAUGGGUAAAGAAGCACCGGCUAACUACGUG
rnacentral:rRNA from 1 species